UACGAAGGUGGCAAGCGUUGUUCGGAUUUACUGGGCGUACAGGGAGCGUAGGCGGUUGGAUAAGCCCUCCGUGAAAUCUCCAGGCUUAACCUGGAAAGUGCAGAGGGGACUGUUCAGCUAGAGGAUGGGAGAGGAGCGCGGAAUUCCCGGUGUAGCGGUGAAAUGCGUAGAGAUCGGGAGGAACACCAGUGGCGAAGGCGGUUGCCUGGAGCUUUGCUGACGCUGAGGCGCGAAAGCGUGGGGAGCGAUCCGG
rnacentral:rRNA from 1 species